AUUGAACGCUGGCGGCAGGCCUGACACAUGCAAGUCGAGCGGAUGAAGGGAGCUUGCUCCUGGAUUCAGCGGCGGACGGGUGAGUAAUGCCUAGGAAUCUGCCUGGUAGUGGGGGAUAACGUCCGGAAACGGGCGCUAAUACCGCAUACGUCCUGAGGGAGAAAGUGGGGGAUCUUCGGACCACACGCUAUCAGAUGAGCCUAGGUCGGAUUAGCUAGUUGGUGGGGUAAAGGCCUACCAAGGCGACGAUCCGUAACUGGUCUGAGAGGAUGAUCAGUCACACUGGAACUGAGACACGGUCCAGACUCCUACGGGAGGCAGCAGUGGGGAAUAUUGGACAAUGGGCGAAAGCCUGAUCCAGCCAUGCCGCGUGUGUGAAGAAGGUCUUCGGAUUGUAAAGCACUUUAAGUUGGGAGGAAGGGCAGUAAGUUAAUACCUUGCUGUUUUGACGUUACCAACAGAAUAAGCACCGGCUAACUUCGUG
rnacentral:rRNA from 1 species